CAGCCGCCGCGGGAAUACGGAGGGUGCAAGCGUUAAUCGGAAUUACUGGGCGUAAAGGGUGCGUAGGCGGUUGUUUAAGUCUGUUGUGAAAUCCCCGGGCUCAACCUGGGAAUGGCAAUGGAAACUGGGCGGCUAGUGUGGUAGAGGAUAGUGGAAUUUCCGGUGUAGCAGUGAAAUGCGUAGAGAUCGUGAGGAAGACCAGUUGCGAAGGCGAAUCUCUGGGCAGUUCCUGACACUGAGGCACGAAGGCCAGGGGAGCAAACGGGAUUAGAGACCCCAGUAGUCCCUGUCUCUUAUAUAC
rnacentral:rRNA from 1 species